rnacentral:rRNA from 1 species
UACGGAAGGCAGCAGGGGGAAUAUUGCACAAUGGGCGAAAGCCUGAUGCAGCUAUGCCGCGUGUAUGAAGAAGGCCUUAGGGUUGUAAAGUACUUUCAUCGGGGAGGAAAAACAAAACUAAUAAUUUUAUUUCUUGACGUUACCCGAAAAAGAAGCACCGGCUAACUCCGUGCCAGCAGCCGCGGUAAUACGGAGGGUGCUAGCGUUAAUCAGAAUUACUGGGCGUAAAGAGCACGUAGGUGGUUUUUUUAAAGUCAGAUGUGAAAUCCCUGGGCUUAACCUAGGAACUGCAUUUUGAAACUGAAAUACUAGAGUAUCGUAGAGGGAGGUAGAAUUCUAGGUGUAGCGGUGAAAUGCGUAGAUAUCUGGAGGAAUACCUGUGGCGAAAGCGGCCUCCUAAACGAAUACUGACACUGAGGUGCGAAAGCGUGGGGAGCAAACAGGGAUUAGAUA